CUAAAAGCCAUCCCAGUUCGGAUUGCAGGCUGAAACCCGCCUGUAUGAAGUUGGAAUCGCUAGUAAUCGCGGAUCAGCAUGCCGCGGUGAAUACGUUCCCGGGCCUUGUACACACCGCCCGUCACACCAUGGGAGUCGGAAAUGCCCGAAGCCAGUGACCCAACCUUAAGGAGGGAGCUGUCGAAGGUGGAGCCGAUAACUGGGGUGAAGUCGUAACAAGGUAAC
rnacentral:rRNA from 1 species